rnacentral:sRNA from 1 species
UCCUCGAUCUGCUGCGGGCAGAUGAAGUGGAUGUGGCUGUCGAUGCCGCCGGCGGUGACGAUCAUGCCUUCGCCGGCGAUGAUCUCGGUGCCGCCGCCAAUGGCCAUGGUCACGCCCGGCUGGAUGUCGGGAUUGCCGGCCUUGCCGAUGCCGGCGAUCUUGCCGCUCUUGAUGCCGAUGUCGGCCUUGACGAUGCCCCAGUGGUCGAUGAUCAGCGCGUUGGUGAUCACGGUAUCCAUGACGUCGGCAUGCGCGCGCUGCGACUGGCCCAUGCCGUCGCGGA